GACGAACGCUGGCGGCGUGCUUAACACAUGCAAGUCGAACGAAGAAGCCCAGCUUGCGGGGUGGAUUCGUGGGGAACGGGUGAGUGACACAUGAGCAACGUGCCCGCAACUCUGGCAUAAAUACCGGAGACGGUGGGGAGUACAGGGCAUAUGCCAGGGUGACACCUCCUCUGGUUGGGAAAAUUUCUGGGUUUCGGAUCGUCUCACGGCCUUUCCGCUUGUUGGUGGGGUAGUGGCCUACCAAGGCGUCGACGGGUAGCCGGCCUGAGAGGGUGACCGGCCACACUGGGACUGAGACACGGCCCAGACUCCUACGGGAGGCAGCAGUGGGGAAUAUUGCACAAUGGGCGCAAGCCUGAUGCAGCAACGCCGCGUGAGGGAUGACGGCCUUCGGGUUGUAAACCUCUUUGAGUAGGGAAGAAGCGCAAGUGACGGUACCUGCUGAAAAAGCACCGGCUAACUACGUG
rnacentral:rRNA from 1 species